GUGCUUACCUGGCAGGGGCCAGGCCGUGAUCACGAAGGUGGUUUUCCAGGGGCGAGGGUCAGGCCCGCACUCUGGACAUGCUGACCCCUGCAGGUGCCCCAACUGUGGGAACCCAGACUGCAGGGGUUGUGGCCAUGGGGGGCUGCCUUUGCACUGUCCCUGG